UACGGGGGGGGCAAGCGUUGUUCGGAAUUACUGGGCGUAAAGGGCUCGUAGGUGGCCAACUAAGUCAGACGUGAAAUCCCUCGGCUUAACCGGGGAACUGCGUCUGAUACUGGAUGGCUUGAGUUCGGGAGAGGGAUGCGGAAUUCCAGGUGUAGCGGUGAAAUGCGCAGAUAUCGGGAGGAACACCAAUGGCGAAGGCAGCUCGCUGGGACGUUACUGACGCUGAGACGCGAAAGCGUGGGGAGCAAACAGG
rnacentral:rRNA from 1 species